GUCUACGGCCAUACCACCCUGAACGCGCCCGAUCUCGUCUGAUCUCGGAAGCUAAGCAGGGUCGGACCUCGUUAGUACUUGGAUGGGAGAAGGAAAGAGUAAAUAAAGGAGGGAGGUGGUUGCCAUUGAUA
rnacentral:rRNA from 1 species